CUCUGGUCACACAGAAGGCAGAAUUCACUUGUAAUCCCAUCCACUCCCAGAGGAAAGAGUGACCCCUGGUGUGUGUCCAGAGGUGUCUGUGGCCAGGAUGGACAGGUACAUCAUGAAUUUCACACCUUCCUGCAAGAGGUUCCAACACCAGUAAACAUGACUGUGUCCUGUCACUGGACCACAACUCAGUGUUGCGUCCUGGCCUCUCACCCUGACCAAGUGUCUUGGGUCCUGGAUGGUGCCUGCAUUUGUGGGACUUCAGGAAAGAAAAGAUUGCACGAGAUAGAAUCAUAAUGGCAGAUAAAGGGAGCACCUUACAAUGAAGCAACGUACAUCACGAAUUUCAGACCCUCCUUCACGAGCUGCUGCUAACAGUAAACACGACUGUGUUCUGUCACCGGACUGCAUCUCAGUGUUGCCUCCUAGCUUCUCCCCUGACUAGAUGUCUUGGGUCCUGGAUGAUGCUGGCAUUUGUGGGAACUCAGAAAAGGAAAGAUUGCAUGAGACAGAGUCCUGCUGGCAGAGGAAGUGAGUGCCUUAGAAUGAAGCAACCAAAGGCAAGAUAAAAUGUUUUUGAAGUCUCCUGUGUUCAUUUAAAAAUUCACAUAAAUUUUGCUUUUCACUCCAUAAUGCAAUUAGUUUCUUUCAGUUGAAUGUCAAUUUCUUUCACAGAACCUUUGGGCAACAUGAAGGUCCAGGGCAUGUUUGAGACAUAGCUAUAGAGCCAUAGACAAAGACCAGCGAUGUUGAUCCACUAUCCCAGAAGUCACCUGCCCCCAGGAGCCAGAUGACCACCCAGCAGAGGAGUUGGUUGCCCAAGGCAGAGUUGGACAUGAAGGGGAGCCUAUAUUCAGGGCCCAGGAAGGGUGCUGACUGCAGCAGCUCAGGGGGCUAGACUUCACUGCUGCCUCCCUUGAGGCAGGUCUUCCUGUGAGGUCACUAUUCCGGUGGAUCCUGUUGCCUCUAGAACUGAUCUUGUACAUAAGUAGAAUGAGACCUUUUUUUCUUGACUAUACAUACAACUUGGCUUAAUACGUGUUAGUGUGGGGGAUAGUGUUGUGCUGGGAAAGUUGAGAAACGAAUGUCUUCAUUAUUGGUCCUUAGUUUCUGAAAUAUUAAUAUUUACCACUUCCUUCUCUAACUUUUCAUAUCUUUUGUUCCUUUAUUUUCCAUUCAUUAGCUCAUAUAAUCUUUCCAUUUUCUCUGUUGAGUAGAGGUAGUGAGCAGAUGUGAUAUCUGGGUACAUAUAUUGAGUGCCAAGGAAGUGGAGACCAGGAUUGGAGAGAGGAAGUGAUUUGACUUUGUUUCCUUCUUUCCUCUUCCACCUCAGCUAAGCAAUGGUUUCAAGCAUUGAUGGAACUCUGUUUAGUGGUUUAUAGUUGACUUUUCUCAUCUUUUGUUAUUCUACUUGAAUUUUUGAUGUAAGUACUUCAAAGAACAACUAUAAGAAAAUCUGUAAAUUCUCCCUCUCACCUUGUGUACUUUGAUUCUAUUGAUCUAUUUGCAUUAUUCUCUUUCAUCAAGGAUCUGAUACCCAUAUUUGAGGGAUCUUGCUUCCUUCUGUUCUUCUGUCCUUCUCUCCUACUCUGUGGCAUUCAACAAAAGUUCUGAGAAACCCUACUUUGUCCCAGCCAUGAUGAAAGGAAGAUACAAAGAAGAAUAAGGCAUUAUCAAAGGUUAACUUGGUUUCAAAUACAAUGCAGCCCAGAGAGUAGGACAUAGACACAGCACAAAAAGAAAGUGUUACACUUAAAGAGAAUUGUUCAAUUAUAUCAUGAAAAGUUUGGAGGAAAGGUUUUAGGAUUUUAUCUUAAUGGUCCCAGUCCAAGGAGACCAGGACACAAAUUUGGGUUGGGUUAUGUUCAGUGUUAUUGCCUUAUUCCCCUAAAAUAAGACAUAUGGGCAGCAGGCUGUGUCUCUAACAGUCAGCUGGAUGGAAAGGGUAAGUGUGGACACAGCAUCCAUCAGUGCUAACUGACACUGCAAUACUAUGAAGUUUAAUGUAGAGGAGGGAAACAAAAGACUGCUUCAUAUAGAGGUGUGAUCACUUUCUUACCAUGUUUCAUGCCAGAGCCUAAAAUGCUCUUCUAUUCUUCUUGCCAUUGGUGAAGGUAGCAGUGGGAUAUUUAAUAAGUAUUUUCCUAGCUCUCUUCUCCAGGCUGAAAAUGCUGACAGAGUAGGGGCUCCAAUUAAAAUGGGUCCCUCGUUUCAGUGGCAAUGAACACAGUCUGAGGUGACUGACCCCAGGUGGGGUAUUUAAUCACCAGUAACAACAUGGACCUGGUCAUCAUGUGGAUAUAACGUGAGAGCAUGUCCCUCACUGAACUGACUCCCGUCUUAGCCCGUUCAAUUCUACUUUGGUCAGGGACAAGGUCUUGUUUCCACGCCUUCAUCUUCACACUUGGUAUCUAAGUCCUCAUUCCCUGAUCCUCACUACACAAUGCUCUUCAUUCUCCUUUUUCACAGACUCCAGUACCUUCGGUUAUUUGCUUUACGUUUUUUCUCUUUUUGUAUCUCAUAUGCAUAGGAUUUGUUUCAUCUUAACCCUUGGUUCAUCACACACAGGCAAUGUGUGUGGAUGCAUGGUUUUUUAUUUAUUUAAAAAUAUGCUAGGUAGUUGUAGAACAUCUCUCCACCUUGUACAGCAAUAGUCAAGAUAGAUAUUGACAACAAGUAAAUUUAGCAAUGUGGUUCUGUCCCGUCCCAUCUCCUACCACUCCCCAUACACAUCCCACAUGAAAUAUCAUCCUCAACUUAAGUCAUCAUCAUUCCUUGUCAGUAUGCGUUGCUAAAUAUUUGACCACCAGCUCUCUGGAGGAAAAUAAAACAAGCCUUGGUUGGCUGUGUCUGCUGUUAACCAUGGUGUGUAUAUUCCCGCUAUGGCUAAUUCAAGCUAUCUACAUGAAAUCUUUGAAACUGGAGUUCAGGAAGAUGUGUAUAAUUAGUUUUUAUGAGCUGGAAAAAAUGUGGUUCCAGCGAAAACUAUUCCUUGCCUUCCCUUAAAUAUUAUUUUAUCUAAUCUAUUUGUAGUCAUAAACGUUAUUUUCUUGAUUUAGUUGUUUUAGAUUUAUAAAAAGUUCAUCAUGCUUUACAUAAUUUUAUUAGAGUUUGUUUUUGCAUUUGAUAUUAUAUUGCGAAGCUCCACCUAUACCAUUGCUCAUUACUGGAGUUCACUCAUUUUGAUUGAUGUAUAUAUAGUUUCUGUAGUAUGAAUACACUGAAGUUUAUAUGUUCACCCUCUUGUUAAUGCAUAUGUGGCUUGGUUCCCCGUCUUGGUGCUCUGAAAAGUGCUACUUAGAACACUUUUGUAUUUCUGUCUUCUCAUGUUCAUAUGGAAGAGCUUCUCCUUAUGUAAACCUAGGAGUGGAAUUGCUGGGUCAAGGAAUGCAGGAUUGGUAAAUUAUAGAGAUAAUAUCAGACUGUUUCCAAAUUGUUUGUAGCAUUUAAGCUCUCACCAGUAAUCUUGUGGAUCCGUACCCUCUCUAAUAGUUUAUAUUUCCAAGAUUUAUAUAGUGCUAAUUUAAUGGAUUUAAACUUACAUAUCAUUUUGUCAAAUUCAAAUUUUUCUAAUCAUCUGUGAAGUCAAGUAUCUCCUCAUUUGUUUAUUGGUCAUAGAUGUCUCUUCUAUUAAACGUAUGUUUGUAUA